AGGAUGGGACCACAGCCAGAACUCUAUGCCACACCAGAAUUUACUUAUUCAACACAUAUUUCUGAGUGUCAACUCUGUGCCAAGUAUCGUUUUAGUUUUACAGCAGUGAACAAAAUACACAAUGUGCCUGACCUAUGAAUAUUACUAUUGUUGACGUGACAACAAUGAAUGAAUAACAAAACAGAUUUAUAUAAGCCAGGUUGUAUAAGUGUUAUAGAGAAAAAUGAAAUAAGUGUUUAGCCAGGGUUCCCUAGAGGGACAGAACUAAUAGGAUAGAUGUAUAUAUGAGGGGGAGUUUAUUAAAGAUUAUUGACUCACACAAUCACAAGGUCCCACAAUAGGCCAUCUGCAGGCUGAGGAACAAGGAAGCCAGUCCGAGUCCCAAAACCUCAAAAGUAAGGAAGUGGACAGUUUAGCCUUCAGUCUGUGGCUGAAGGCCCGAGAGACUGUGGCAAACCACUGGUGUAGGUUCAAGAGGCCAAGAGCUGGAAAACUUGGAGUCUGAUGUUUGAGGGCAGGAAGCAUCCAGCACAAGAGGAGGAUGAAGGCUAGAAGACACAGCAAGUCUGCUCCUUCCAAGUUCUUCUGCCUGCUUUAUUCUAACCAGGCUGGCAGCUGAUUAGAUGGUGCCCACUCAGAUUAAAGAUAGGUAUUGGGAGAAGGAGAGGCUGUCAACCCACGCCACUAUGCUAUCUCUAACUCUGCCAUCCAGACCGAGCAAACGUACUUAAGACCUUUGUGUAAGAUCAGAAAAUCAUAAGACAGCAUUAAAAGUACUAUACAGGAGGAGAUGGAACAAGAUGGCCAAAUAGAAGCCUCCAGCAAUCAUCUCCCCCAAAGGAAUUGAACAACUAUCAAAACAAAAUUGAACAACUAUCUAAACAAAAAAAGUACCUUCAUAAAAAGCAAAAAUCAGGACACAGUGUUCUGCCUCUCCUGAGUAAGCAGCAACAAGGCACCAUCUUGGAAUCAGAGGGCAGCCCUCACCAGACAACUAAAUCUGCAGACACCUUGGACUUCCCAGCCUCCAGAACUGUCUUUCUGGCAACUGUCUAAACAUAAACCAGAGAAGGGCAAGGCAGACUCAGGAAGGACAAAUAGAAGGCUAUUUUCAUAAAUCGGGCCAAAGAGCUGUACAGCAGAAAUUACAAAGGAAGCAUUUGAUGAUGUACCCAAGAGGGUGCCCCAGUCCUCCCAUAGACGAUGCAAGGCAUACCAGAGACCCAGAAAUGUCUGUGUGGCUCAGUGGGGAAAUGUGGAGAGGCCACAAAAACCUAGAGGGGACUCUGAUUGGGAAAAGGAAGCUACACAGCCUAGGGACUUUACUCCUUGAGGCAACUGGCAAGAAGUGAUACAUUAGAAGUUAAUGCCAGCGAAAUAUUCAACAAGGUUAGGUAUAACCAGCCACAUCUCAGAGGACACCAGUAUACGGCCUUUGGGGACCAAACCAACCCCUCCGAAGCAAAGAACAUCAAGAAUGUGGAAAGUGCCCUCAACUCCUGCCACAUGAGGAUGGAUGCAACCUCCUCCUGCACAUUGGAAAGAAGGAUCAGGGAGGGACCAGCCUAUGGUAGCAGGAGGCACAGCCAAAAUAGGGCUCUAAAUUGCUGAAAGUUAUUUACUCACAAGAGAUGAACUAUCUUAACUUGGAAAAGUUGUUUACCCUGCCUUCACCUGGAAUUGAAAUUGUCUGCUAAAUAAAAUAAAGGAAAUUAUAAAAUAUGUUACACAUACAG